rnacentral:rRNA from 1 species
ACCUGGUUGAUUCUGCAGUAGUCAUAUGCUUGUCUCAAAGAUUAAGCCAUGCAUGUCUAAGUAUAAGCAAUUAUACAGCGAAACUGCGAAUGGCUCAUUAUAUAAGUUAUCGUUUAUUUGAUAGUACUUACUACUUGGAUAACCGUGGUAAUUCUAGAGCUAAUACAUGCUAAAAAUCCCGACUUCGGAAGGGAUGUAUUUAUUAGAUUAAAAACCAAUGCCUUCGGGGCUCACUGGUGAUUCAUAAUAACUUCUCGAAUCGCAUGGCUUGCGCGGCGAUGGUUCAUUCAAAUUUCUUCCCUAUCAACUUUCGAUGCUAGAGUAGUGUUCUAGCAUGGUUACAACGGGUAACGGAGGGUUAGGGCUCGACCCCGGAGAAGGAGCCUGAGAAACGGCUACUACAUCCAAGGAAGCAGCAGGCGCGCAAAUUACCCAAUCCCGACACGGGAGGUAGUGACGAUAAAUACUGAUACAGGGCUCUUUUGGGUCUUGUAAUUGGAAUGAGUACAAUUUAAAUCCUUAACGAGGAACAAUUGGAGGGCAAGUCUGGUGCCAGCAGCCGCGGUAAUUCCAGCUCCAAUAGCGUAUAUUAAAGUUGUUGUGGUUAAAAAGCUCGUAGUAGAACCUUGGGCCUGGCUGGCCGGUCCGCUCACCGCGUGCACUGGUCCGGCCGGGCCUUUCCCUCUGUGGAACCGCAUGCCUUCACUGGGUGUGCCGGGGAAACAGGACUUUUACUUUGAAAAAAUUAGAGUGCUCCAGGCAGGCCUAUGCUCGAAUACAUUAGCAUGGAAUAAUAGAAUAGGACGUGUGGUUCUAUUUUGUUGGUUUCUAGGACCGCCGUAAUGAUUAAUAGGACAGUCGGGGGCAUCAGUAUUCAAUUGUCAGAGGUGAAAUUCUUGGAUUUAUUGAAGACUAACUACUGCGAAAGCAUUUGCCAAGGAUGUUUUCAUUUAUCAGGAACGAAAGUUAGGGGAUCGAAGACGAUCAGAUACCGUCGUAGUCUUAACCAUAAACUAUGCCGACUAGGGAUCGGACGAUGUUAUUUUUUGACUCGUUCGGCACCUUACGAGAAAUCAAAGUGCUUGGGCUCCAGGGGAGUAUGGUCGCAAGGCUGAAACUUAAAGAAAUUGACGGAAGGGCACCACCAGGGGUGGAGCCUGCGGCUUAAUUUGACUCAACACGGGAAACUCACCAGGUCCAGACACAAUGAGGAUUGACAGAUUGAGAGCUCUUUCUUGAUUUUGUGGGUGGUGGUGCAUGGCCGUUCUUAGUUGGUGGAGUGAUUUGUCUGCUUAAUUGCGAUAACGAACGAGACCUUAACCUGCUAAAUAGCCCGUAUUGCUUUGGCAGUACGCCGGCUUCUUAGAGGGACUAUCGGCUCAAGCGAUGGAAGUUUGAGGCAAUAACAGGUCUGUGAUGCCCUUAGAUGUUCUGGGCCGCACGCGCGUUACACUGACGGAGCCAGCGAGUACUCCCUUGGCCGGAAGGCCCGGGUAAUCUUGUUAAACUCCGUCGUGCUGGGAUAGAGCAUUGCAAUUAUUGCUCUUCAACGAGGAAUCCCUAGUAAGCGCAAGUCAUCAGCUUGCGUUGAUUACGUCCCUGCCCUUUGUACACACCGCCCGUCGCUACUACCGAUUGAAUGGCUCAGUGAGGCUUUCGGACUGGCCCAGAGAGGUGGGCAACUACCACUCAGGGCCGGAAAGUUAUCCAAACUCGGUCAUUUAGAGGAAGUAAAAGUCGUAACAAGGUCUCCGUUGGUGAACCAGCGGAGGGAUCAUU